UACGAAGGGGGCUAGCGUUGUUCGGAAUUACUGGGCGUAAAGCGCGCGCAGGCGGUCUUCCAAGUCAGUGGUGAAAGCCCGGAGCUCAACUCCGGAACUGCCAUUGAAACUGUUAGACUUGAGGACGAGAGAGGUAAGUGGAAUUCCGAGUGUAGAGGUGAAAUUCGUAGAUAUUCGGAAGAACACCAGUGGCGAAGGCGACUUACUGGACACAUAUUGACGCUGAGGUGCGAAAGCGUGGGGAGCAAACAGG
rnacentral:rRNA from 1 species